GGUCCCAUCGUCUAGCGGUUAGGACGCCGGCCUCUCACGUCGGUAGCACGGGUUCGAGUCCCGUUGGGACCA
rnacentral:tRNA from 1 species